rnacentral:lncRNA from 1 species
AACAAGCAUGGGAAGCAGUGUUUAAACCCUUUACAAUUAAAAUCUGUGAAGUUAUUUGGAUUUUUACAAAUGAUAUUUGAAAGACAGGGUCCUGAAAAAGGGACGCUUCUUUUUUAACUGAUUUUUCCAAUGCCAAAUCGGUGUGUCUUGUUUGCAACGAAACUGUCCCUGUUUGCAAAUAAUGAAAUCUGAGACGUCAUUAGGAAUCUGAGCAUGGUACUUCAUUUAAGGUUAGGCAUUCGGUUAGCAGUGUGAUUACGGUUAGGUUUUAAAUCACAUUUUAAGAAGAGAAAUUGUAGAAAUACGCUAGGUGUAGAACUUUGUGGCCAUGGUAACUAGUGACGACCCUGUAUAGGUGGAGCUUAUAAUACAUUUUACAUUACAGAGAAGUCCACUGUUUUUACUCUACGCGGAAAGGGAGUCCCUAGAGAAAGCAAGAACAAGAUGGUUGUCGGGAGUAGUGCAGUAUUAUCAUAAGGAGUCGUAUACUUGGAAAACGGAGGAGGAAUGGAGGGAAAAAGAGAGGGAGAGGAGGUCUAAGAGAGAGAGGGAAGAAGAGGGUGAGCUUGAGAUAAAAAAUGGUGGGAAAAAGUAGAUGGUUUGUUAAAUAAGAAUGAUAGAAAGUGUAAGCAGAGGGAGCUGAAGACAGGAGGAGAAAUGGAAGUGAAUGAGGGUGAAGUAUCGGAGGUGGUAGGUGUGGUGAAGUUAUCGGGGACCGAGGUAUGCAGGGAGGGUAAGAAAUGAGUCUGUGACAGUAGGAGUGAAGUUCAUGGAAAAAGUGGACUCUUGCCUUUUGGCUGAUUCAUUUGUUGUUUCACGGUGGGUGAAAAAAGAGUUGGGUAAUGUGGAAUUGGUGAGGGUAACCAAAAGUGGUCUAGUGAUAAUUGUUUGUGUUUUUGUUGGUCAGAGGGAGAAGGCGCUCGGAGUAAAACAAAUGGGGGCAAAGAACGUGAAUUGUUUUGCUCUCAAGAAAAGGUCACCAAUGAAAGGAGUGAUAACUGGGGUAGCAGUAAAUAUAAAAGUUGACCAGCUGAGGGCAAAGAUUCCCGGUGUAUGUGAUGCUCGUCGUUUGAUGUGACGCAGACAGGGUGGCGAGUGGGGAAACAGAAGAGUCAUUGUCUGUUCGUUUGAGUUUUGAAGUUGAGUCUUUGCCUGACAAAGUGAAGUUAGGAUAUAUAAGUUAUCCUGUAGGAGCGUAUGUGCCAAAUACAUUACGAUGUUACAGGUGUCAAGUUUAUGGACAUGUGUAGGAGGGAGAGGCCAAGGUGUGCAGAAGGGCAUGAGACAAAGGAAUGUGUAGUAUUGGGGAAAGUAGUGGUACGUGUUAAUUGUAGGGGUGCCCAUGGAGCUGGGGAUCAGAAAUGUCCCGUGCGAGAGAGUCAGGUUGAGGUUUCCAGGGUUAGAGUAGUGCAGAAGUUCUGAGGCAGUGAAGAAAGUAGAGGAAGAUGGGUUAAGGGGGAGGAGUGUUGAGACUAGUUGAGAUAUACCAGUACAGAGGGAUAGGCCAGUGGUAUACGUUUCAGUAAGAUUGGAUAUUUAGCAAAUGUAGAAAUUGUUAUCAACUGUACUGCAGGGAUGGAAUGGAAGUCGCAGAAAAUUGAGGUUGUGGUGGCAGCUGCAGAGAGGUAUUUGGGUGUGCGAGACUUGACAUCAGAAGAGGUACAGGGUAUGUUAAGUGGUGAUGUCCCAUCCUUUCAGGAUGAUGGCAUGAGGUAGGAAUAAAUACAUUUAAUUAGUGGAGUAGGCUGGUGUUAAUUUUAUUUUAUAUAACUUUGAAAUUAGUGAGUGUAGUGUUCGAUGGUAGGGUGUUCAUUUAGUACAUUUGUAUUUUUCAAGAAAAGUAUAAGGGAGUUGUACUCCAGUCUAGUAGGUGGCGGUAAUUCAACAAAUUGGAUCCCAACCGCCGUUUAACCUCAUAGAAGAAGAGGUUUUUGCUCCAAAGGAUCAUGGGAACUUUCUUUUCCGAAGAUAGCAAUGUGCUGUCAACGUUUUACGGAUCAUUCCAUUUUGCGUUACCACAGCGAGGGGGACUUUGGCAUUUUAAUCUAUUAAUUUUUUGACGUAAGACGCAUCAUUGUAACGUUAAGUGCAUUGACUUUUUAUACUCGAACAUUUUAUUUUGAUUCAGUUGAAUUUAUCCAGCUGUAUAAUUGUGAAUGAUCUAGCUAACUUAGCUGGCUGAGUUGAUAUUACAAACGGCUAACUCACAGACACGAUUUAUUUUUUAAACAUUUUGUGAAAUGUUCUUGGACAGCAUGGAAACUAAAGUGGAAUUCGAAGUACUGAAACCUUGCGACUCCAGAAGAUCUGGUAAACUUUCAAAGUGCAGACUGAGGAAAGUUCUCCAUUUGAGUUCCAAGGAAGGCCUGAAACGGUGGCGCACCAACCUUGUCAAAGCCACUCUCAAAAAAUACAUUCGUUGCGAACAGAAGAGGGUGCUCACUAAACCGGUCAACCAAGAACAACUUUUGACGGGCAACGGCGAAGAUAUGACGUAUAUGGCGACCGAGAAUAUCGGCAGAAUUACACGACCACUAGGCGCAAUGGCGCCAAAGAAUACAACACAGUAUCUGAUGGACAUUGUAUACGACGACAUGCACAUUGACACCAGUUCCAACCAGUUCAAGUCGCAACCAGUUUCAUUUGUUUCUAGCGCCUCUCUUUCACCCAGGAGCGCGUGUGAAAGUUCUCUUGAUUUUCAACAGAGGGACUUCGACGAAAUGUAUCUCCAUUUUGGAUCAUGUUGAUCAGGCUUGAACCAGUCUGUGGCAGAGCUGACCAAUGCAUUGACUCUAAACCUCGCAAACCAAGCGACGCACCGGACGCUGCCUGUCGGUGGGCGCUCGCUCGCAGCGUCGCUUCCGGUGAAGUUGAGUCCACCGCUAAGGUAUCCCAGGUAAACCUGCGUCACCAACAGGUAAACGUGGCAGGUAGUGGAGUCAUCCUGUAACGUUCUAUGGUGCAAUUUGACUUCAUUUGGUUGCUUUUCAUUGACCUCACUACAGGUUUAGUCUCAUAGUCGAGAUGGAGUAAUUUGCCUUUGGUUGACUUGGUUAUAUACACAGUACCCAGAUGUGUUCACAGCCAUCUGCUGUAUUUACUCUUGUGCGAGCCUUUUUCAGGUCACUCCGUUCUUCGACAUGCCUCCUACCUGACUGCAAUCAGCUGGCCGUUGCCAGAUCGAUGGACACGUGCGGAUGACUGAGUAAGGUUUCAAGUCCACCUCACAUGUAGUGUUGCAGUUCUAAUGUAUACUUAAUGGAUAAUACUGACUUGAUUAGCAAUCAUGUUACCAAAUGCAAGUUUGGGUAAUAUUCACUCAUUACAGAUAUUUGUUACCCAUAGCAAAGACAUUCAAUCCAUUUUUUGAUUACUUAAUGUAAACGUUUGUUUAAACAUGUUGCCAAUGACAUCUGUGUAAAUGUAUUGUAUGUGUCUGGACAUGUUGAGAAAUCCUAACUUCCUAGUUAAAUGCUCGUGUGAAUAAAAGUGUAUGACCUGUUGCCACUU